UAAUACGUAGGGGGCGAGCGUUGUCCGGAAUUAUUGGGCGUAAAGCGCGCGCAGGCGGUUUCUUAAGUCUGGUGUUUAAGUGCGGGGCUCAACCCCGUGACGCACUGGAAACUGGGAGACUUGAGUGCAGGAGAGGAGAGCGGAAUUCCACGUGUAGCGGUGAAAUGCGUAGAGAUGUGGAGGAACACCAGUGGCGAAGGCGGCUCUCUGGACUGUAACUGACGCUGAGGCGCGAAAGCGUGGGGAGCAAACAGGAUUAGAUACCCUGGUAGUCCACGCCGUAAACGAUGAGUGCUAGGUGUUGGGGGGGUCCACCCCUCGGUGCCGAAGUUAACACAUUAAGCACUCCGCCUGGGGAGUACGGUCGCAAGACUGAA
rnacentral:rRNA from 1 species